rnacentral:tRNA from 1 species
AAAAAGAUAAGCUAAUAAAGCUACUGGGCUCAUACCUCAUUUAUAAAGGUUUACUCCUUUUCUUUUUA